AACCAAACCACCCUAAACGCUCCUCUCUCCUCUCUCCUCUCUCUUCCACCGCACCACCACGCCACCCCCCAUCUCGUCACUUCCAUCACUUCACCACCACCACGCCCAUAUCCCACAAAAUCCGCUACCUACACCCCUCUUCUCCUUUCUCACACUCCAUCUCUGAAAACUUGCAGGCUCUAUGUGCGAUUUCAGCGGAUUUCAAGGUAAGCCCAUCCGCAUUUUUCAUCAUCUCAUCAGUUGAAAAAAAUUUCCCAAAAUUUCCCCCCCUUUUUCUUUAUUUUUGAGCUUCGAAUUCGAGUUUUAGAAACCCCUCAAUAUUUUUCUAUAAAUACAGACUCUUGUGGGCUGUUUUGAGUAGGUUUUGGAGGCGUAGAAAAUCCCAUUUAAGUUGACAAGAUUCAAGUGUUGUAAAUCCCUCUUGAAUAACCCCCAAAAAAAAAAAAUCUCAUCUGUUUUCAUCAAGCUUUUCAUAAAAAAUAAAAAAAAUCUUUUUUUUAGUUGCUGGUCUGAAAAAUUAUAUUUUAACUCUACUUUUGUUUUUGUCGAAUUUUGGUUGUUCUCGGCUGAGCAAGGACCACUUUGAGCGGAUUCGAAGACUCGACGACGAUAAUAACCUCAGUUCGCUGUCACGGAAAAGGUGCAAGAGGCUCUUGUAAAAGCUAAGGAAGUUGAUAUAAUUGCUUGAUCGUUGCCUUGGGGAUUGUAACUUCUUGGCGUUUUUCUUUGAGCUUUAGAGGCACUAAAUCUCCAAGGUUUGCACAUAUUCUUGAAUUUCACAUUUUAUAUACUCAUUGUGUAUUUAAGGUGCAAGAGGCUCUUGUAAAAGCUAAGGAAGUUGAUAUAAUUGCUUGAUCGUUGCCUUGGGGAUUGUAACUUCUUGGCGUUUUUCUUUGAGCUUUAGAGGCACUAAAUCUCCAAGUUUGUUACUAUCGUAGGUGAUGUUCCAAAAGGGACUUGAGGAUGGCCAUUUGAAGUAGACUCUCUUAAAUGAAGAUCACAUUUGCAUGAGCACAUUCAUUUUGUAUAUUUUUGGGGACUUGUACGUGAUCCAUGUGAUACACUUAGAUAUGCCCUUUUGAAUGAAAUUUGGGUCAUGAUGCUAAUAUUUUGUAACUUGAUUUUGAUGAAUGACUUGACUAUUUUGGGAGUGUCCAUGCCCAAGUCUUGUAAUAUAUCAAAUUUAGUACUUGUGUCGAACUUGGGAACUUAACUAGUUUGUAUUUGAGAUUGGGAGUUGAAUUUCAUGCUUCGUAUGA